rnacentral:rRNA from 1 species
GACGAACGCUGGCGGCGUGCCUAACACAUGCAAGUCGAGCGGAGGAUUCGAGAUGUUUACAUCGAAGGAUCCUUAGCGGCGGACGGGUGAGUAACACGUGGGUAACCUGCCUCGGAGUGGGGGAUAGCCUUUCGAAAGGAAGAUUAAUACCGCAUAAGAUUGUAGCGUCACAUGGCGCAGCAAGAAAAGGAGCAAUCCGCUUUGAGAUGGACCCGCGGCGCAUUAGCUAGUUGGUGAGGUAACGGCUCACCAAGGCCACGAUGCGUAGCCGACCUGAGAGGGUGAUCGGCCACAUUGGAACUGAGACACGGUCCAGACUCCUACGGGAGGCAGCAGUGGGGAAUAUUGCACAAUGGGCGAAAGCCUGAUGCAGCAACGCCGCGUGAGUGAUGAAGGCCUUCGGUCGGUAAAGCUCUUUGUAUCAGGGAUGAUAAUGACAGUACCUAGAAAACAAAGACCACGGCUAACUACGUGCC